rnacentral:rRNA from 1 species
AGAGUUGAUUCUGGCUCAGGACGAACGCUGGCGGCGUGCUUAACACGAUGCAAGUCGAACGGGGAUAUACCGGAGGAGAGCUUCGGCAGGAUCGGGUAUAUCGAGUGGCGGACGGGUGAGUAACGCGUGAGCAACCUGUCCCAGACAGGGGGAUAACACUUGGAAACAGGUGCUAAUACCGCAUAAGACCACGGGAUCACAUGGUUCUGGGGUAAAAGGAGCGAUCCGGUUUGGGGUGGGCUCGCGUCCGAUUAGAUAGUUGGUGAGGUAACGGCCCACCAAGUCGACGAUCGGUAGCCGACCUGAGAGGGUGAUCGGCCACAUUGGAACUGAGAGACGGUCCAAACUCCUACGGGAGGCAGCAGUGGGGAAUAUUGGGCAAUGGGCGAAAGCCUGACCCAGCAACGCCGCGUGAGUGAAGAAGGCCUUCGGGUUGUAAAGCUCUGUUAUAGUUGACGAAGGAAGUGACGGUAGGCUAUAAGGAAGCCCCGGCUAACUACGUGCCAGCCGCGGC